CUUCCCUUAGCUCAGCUGGUAGAGAACCUGCCUGUAAUGCAGGAGACCCAGUUCAGUUUCUGGGUUGGGAAGA
rnacentral:tRNA from 1 species